UCAGCUCCUGUGCUCACUGCCAAGCUGUAAAUUAAAACCGGAGUGAGCGCAGGAGCAUGUAAGCUUCAACAGGGAAGAAGCAUCGCGAUUGGCGGUUGAGUGAAAGCAGGCGGGGGCAGAGGUCAGGAAUGAGGAAAGGCUAAAUCACGUGCCUGCAACGUCAGCUCUUCAAAGGAAAGCCACAAUAUACUCAUGCGCAUGUGCAGGGCACUGCUGUGAAUGAUUGCGCAUGCGUGUGCCCUAAUAGGACUCGUUUUUGGACUGCAGCCAGGGAAUGCUUCCAUAUACAGCUUUGAGCUUUCUUCAAAAACGAUGACAGCACAAACCUUAGUAGAAAAACGAAUGAGGGAAUGCUUACUGAAAUAAAUCCAUGAAUAACACAGUAGAAAGAAAGCUGAAAAUCCAAUUGGUUUAUGAGGAACCAAACCAAAGGAGAAGAACCUGGAGCCCUGAUGAGGAGUGGCUUGCAGACAAAGAGAAUCUUGCAUAAGAAAGGUUGAAGUGGGCACCCAGAGUAGAGACACCCAGCGGUCAGCCUCUCAUGGCAAGUUUGGAAGCCUGCGGUGAACAACACCCUUUUGAGGACCAGACCUUUCUGCAGCAGUACGUACAGAGAACCAACCUCAACAAGAUGAAUGGAUGAAAAUGACAGUUCAAAUGGCAGCCAAAGUACAGUCCUGAGCAGGCAAAGAACAAGAAAUAAAAGAAGCCAGAUGAGAAAGAAUCAUCAGAGAACACAAUAUUAAUAUUUUUGCAGUUAUUAUGACCUUUAAAUAUACUGCACUGCUGUAACAGUACCACAAAUCGUCUGCAAAGGACUUAAAUUAUACUCACCCCAGCUGCAAAUCCCAAA